UCACAGACAAGCUCCCACAUAAACAUUUCCAAAUGGAAUCCUUCUCCAUGAUGAUUUGCCUACCUCUUCUUUGUUAUAUCAUCUUCUGCCUCUGGAAGUUGUUCUUUAGGAAUAGAGAAAACAGCUGCUAUAUGCUGCACUAUGAGUGCUACAAGGGUGCUGAGGACAGGAAGCUCGACACAGAAUCCUGUGCAAAGAUUGUCCUGAGAAACAAGAAUCUGGGGCUGGAACAGUACAGGUUUCUUUUACAAACUAUUUCUAAUUCUGGCAUUGGUGAAGAAACUUAUGGCCCGAAAAACGUUAUUGAAGGCCAAGAACAAUCUCCUUCUCUAGAGGAUGCCCUUUCAGAAGUUGAUGAUAUCAUGUUCAACACACUUGACAAGCUCUUUGAAAGAACAGGAGUUUCUCCAUCAGAAAUUGACAUACUUGUUGUCAAUGUUUCCUUAUUCUCCCCUCAACCUUCUCUAACGGCUCGAGUAGUUAACAGGUACAAGAUGAGGGAGGAUAUCAAAGCUUUCAACCUUGCUGGAAUGGGCUGUAGUGCAAGCGUUGUGGCUUUGGAUCUAGUUUGGCAGCUGUUCAAGUCACACAAGAAAGCAUUGGCUCUCGUUGUGAGCACAGAAUCAAUGGGUCCAAAUUGGUAUCGUGGCAAGGAGAAAUCCAUGAUUCUUUCCAAUUGUCUUUUCCGUUCAGGAGGCUGCUCUAUGCUCUUGACAAACAAUGAAGCACUAAAGCAUCGAGCCAUCUUGAAAUUAAGCCAUGUUGUACGUACACAUCUUGGGGCAAACGAUGAAGCUUAUGGAUGCUGCAUACAAUUAGAAGAUGAUCUUGGCUAUGCAGGUUUUCUCCUGACCAGAAACCUAACAAGGAAUGCUGCUAAAGCUCUUUCCAUGAAUCUCAAAGUGCUAAUGCCCAAAGUGUUACCUCUACGGGAACUACUACGCUACAUUUUCACAUCUCUUGGUCGAAAGAGAAGCACUGUAGCAGGUUUAAAUUUCAAGGCUGGAAUUGAACACUUCUGUAUACACCCAGGUGGGAAGGCAGUCAUUGAUGGGAUUGGUAAGAGUUUAAAGCUAACUGAUUACGAUCUUGAACCUGCCAGAAUGGCACUUCAUAGAUUUGGCAACACAUCAUCUGGUGGCCUUUGGUAUGUUUUAGGCUACAUGGAAGCUAAGAAGAGGCUUAAGAAGGGUGACAGAAUACUAAUGAUCAGUCUUGGAGCAGGUUUUAAGUGCAACAACUGUGUGUGGGAAGUUGUGAGAGACUUGAACGAUCUUAAUGUCUGGAAGGACAGCAUAGAUCAUUAUCCUUCCCAAGAAGGACCAGCCAACUCAUUCCUGGAAAAGUAUGGUUGGAUCAAUGAUGAACAGUUGAUGAGCUUUGUUCAAUUUCCGUAGAAGCCACAUACUUUGUUCCUACAAUAUUUAACUCUAUUACAACUUUUCUUUAAAUCUGUCUUGUAAUUUCCCUUUUGGUUCAGGAAUAAUGCUCCAGUUAUGUACCAUAUUGGAGCAUGCAUGAGUUAAAAAUCUAUGCAUCUUGAUCAUAUAGCUGAAGGAUGCAUAAAACUCAUGUCUUUCUAAUUUCAAAACCUUUGUUUUAAGUUACAAUAAUAUUGUAGUUAUGAUAAUUUUGUUCAGAGUAUGUGUGGUUUUUAGACCUUACUUCAUCUGAAAAUUUAUGAAGG
rnacentral:misc_RNA from 1 species